CAUGCCAUACCAGUGUCUCCACACUCUUUGAUUAAGAGGACAGCCAACCCAUAUGGCAUACAGUGACCUAUACUUGAUAUUACUAUCAUCCUAUUAACAGCAUGUCAUUGGGUCGUGAACACGUUUUAAGGACUAAAUGACAAAUCCUCCUUUAUCGAUUAAUUAUAAUUCUAAGGAUACCAUCACAACACAGGAGUUCAAAUAAGAUGGAUAAAAUGUGAC
rnacentral:lncRNA from 1 species